rnacentral:rRNA from 1 species
AUUGAACGCUGGCGGCAUGCUUUACACAUGCAAGUCGAACGGCAGCGCGGGCUUCGGCCUGGCGGCGAGUGGCGAACGGGUGAGUAAUGCAUCGGAACGUGCCCAGUAGUGGGGGAUAGCCCGGCGAAAGCGGGAUUAAUACCGCAUACGAGCUGAGGGUGAAAGCGGGGAACCGGAGGGCCUCCGGCUCUUGCACGGGCCGAUGUCGGAUUAGCGAGUUGGUGGGGUAAAGGCGUACAAAGGCGACGAUCCGUAGCUGGUCUGAGAGGAUGACCAGCCACACUGGGACUGAGACACGGCCCAGACUCCUACGGGAGGCAGCAGUGGGGAAUUUUGGACAAUGGGGGCAACCCUGAUCCAGCCAUGCCGCGUGCGGGAAGAAGGCCUUCGGGUUGUAAACCGCUUUUGUUCGGGAAGAAAUCCUCUGGGCUAAUACCCCGGGGGGAUGACGGUACCGGAAGAAUAAGCACCGGCUAACUACGUG